rnacentral:rRNA from 1 species
GACAGAGGGUGCAAACGUUGUUCGGAAUUACUGGGCGUAAAGCGAGUGUAGGCGGUUUGGUAAGUCGGAUGUGAAAGCCCCGGGCUCAACCCGGGAAGUGCACUCGAUACUGCCAAGCUAGAGUAUCGGAGAGGUUGGUGGAAUUCUCGGUGUAGAGGUGAAAUUCGUAGAUAUCGAGAGGAACACCGGUGGCGAAGGCGGCUACCUGGACGGCUAUUGACGCUGAGACGCGAAAGCGUGGGGAGCAAACAGG